rnacentral:rRNA from 1 species
UGCGUAGGCGGGCUAAUAAGUCAGUGGUGAAAUCUUCCGGCUCAACCGGGAACCUGCCAUUGAUACUGUUAGUCUUGAGUUCGGUUGAGGUAGGCGGAAUGUGUAAUGUAGCGGUGAAAUGCUUAGAUAUUACACAGAACACCAAUUGCGUAGGCAGCUUACUAGACCGACACUGACGCUGAGGCACGAAAGCGUGGGGAGCAAACAGGAUUAGAUACCCUGGUAGUCC